GUUUCCGUAGUGUAGUGUAGUGGUUAUCACGUCCGCUUCACACGCGGAAGGUCCCCGGUUCGAGCCCGGGCGGAAACA
rnacentral:tRNA from 1 species